rnacentral:rRNA from 1 species
UACAGAGGUGGCAAGCGUUGUUCGGAAUUACUGGGCGUAAAGGGCGCGUAGGCGGCCUUCUAAGUCAGACGUGAAAUCCCCCGGCUUAACCUGGGAACUGCGUCUGAUACUGGAAGGCUUGAGUUUGGGAGAGGGAUGCAGAAUUCCAGGUGUAGCGGUGAAAUGCGUAGAUAUCUGGAGGAAUACCGGUGGCGAAGGCGGCAUCCUGGACCAACACUGACGCUGAGGCGCGAAAGUUAGGGGAGCAAACGGG